GCUCUUCUUGCUCAGCUUUUAACUCAGCUUCGAACUUACUGGAACAUGACAAGGCCUGGGCCUGCGAAGAAAUAGCAAACAGACGACACCGCGGUAUCACUACAUUCUUGUGGACCAGUCCUUGAACUGGGCCGAGUGGUAUCCUCAGACCUCAAGAGAGAAGGUUCUCUGUUCAUCAGUUGACUCAGAAACUCAUGACUGAUCAAGAUACAGAGAUAAUCCACUCACUAUGGAAUGCUCAGACACACAUGGGACACACACCCUUCCCAAGGCUCCUGGAAGGGUGGGUGGAAACCCUACAAGAGCCAAAGGUCAGGGAGUACUGGAGUUGAAGGAGUGGAGCCAGCUGUACUCAGGAACGCCCAGCAGGAAGCUCACCUGGUAUGUGGAGUCUGGGCCCACCCCUGGCCCCAGGAGUGGGCUAUGAGGACAGCUAUGUUCCAGCCACUGCUAAAGGGGAUCCAUCACAGUCUUCUGGCCUCUGUGAGCACCGGGCAUGCAUGUGGUAUGCAGACAUAAAUGGAGGCAAGACUUUUAUACACACAAAAUGGACACAUUUUUUUAAAUUACAAAUUUGGGCCGGAGAGAUGGCUCAGCAUUGAAG